GAGUCCUACGGGAGGCAGCAGUGAGGAAUAUUGGUCAAUGGCCGAGAGGCUGAACCAGCCAAGUCGCGUGAGGGAAGACGGCCCUACGGGUUGUAAACCUCUUUUGUCGGGGAGCAAAGCGAACCACGUGUGGUUCAUUGAGAGUACCCGAAGAAAAAGCAUCGGCUAACUCCGUGCCAGCAGCCGCGGUAAUACGUAGGGAGCGAGCGUUGUCCGGAUUUACUGGGUGUAAAGGGUGCGCAGGCGGCUCUGCAAGUCAGGCGUGAAAGCUAGGGGCUCAACCCCUAAAUUGCGCUUGAAACUGU
rnacentral:rRNA from 1 species